GCCGAGGUGGCGGAAUGGCAGACGCAAAGGACUUAAAAUCCUUCGGGGGCAACCCCGUACCGGUUCGAGUCCGGUCCCCGGCACCA
rnacentral:tRNA from 1 species